rnacentral:rRNA from 1 species
AGUGGACGCACAGAAUACACCGUAGUUUACUACACCGUAUUCAGUGAGUCGCGAACGGGUGAGUAACGCGUAGGUAACCUGCCUGGUAGCGGGGGAUAACUAUUGGAAACGAUAGCUAAUACCGCAUAAGAAUAGAUAUUGCAUGAUAUCUAUUUAAAAGAUGCAACCGCAUCACUACCAGAUGGACCUGCGUUGUAUUAGCUAGUUGGUGGGGUAACGGCUCACCAAGGCAACGAUACAUAGCCGACCUGAGAGGGUGAUCGGCCACACUGGGACUGAGACACGGCCCAGACUCCUACGGGAGGCAGCAGUAGGGAAUCUUCGGCAAUGGGGGGAACCCUGACCGAGCAACGCCGCGUGAGUGAAGAAGGUUUUCGGAUCGUAAAGCUCUGUUGUUAAGGAAGAACGGGUGUGAGAGUGGAAAGUUCACACAGUGACGGUACUUAACCAGAAAGGGACGGCUAACUACGUGCCAGCAGCCGCGGUAAUACGUAGGUCCCGAGCGUUGUCCGGAUUUAUUGGGCGUAAAGCGAGCGCAGGCGGUUAGAUAAGUCUGAAGUGAAAGGCAGUGGCUCAACCAUUGUAGGCUUUGGAAACUGUUUAACUUGAGUGCAGAAGGGGAGAGUGGAAUUCCAUGUGUAGCGGUGAAAUGCGUAGAUAUAUGGAGGAACACCGGUGGCGAAAGCGGCUCUCUGGUCUGUAACUGACGCUGAGGCUCGAAAGCGUGGGGAGCGAACAGGAUUAGAUACCCUGGUAGUCCACGCCGUAAACGAUGAGUGCUAGGUGUUAGGUCCUUUCCGGGACUUAGUGCCGCAGCUAACGCAUUAAGCACUCCGCCUGGGGAGUACGACCGCAAGGUUGAAACUCAAAGGAAUUGACGGGGGCCCGCACAAGCGGUGGAGCAUGUGGUUUAAUUCGAAGCAACGCGAA